rfam:Beta vulgaris subsp. vulgaris Bvchr6.sca027.con0066.1, whole genome shotgun sequence.
AUACUUACCUGGACGGGGUCUAUGUGCGAUCAUAAAGGCUCAUGGCCUAGGUAGGUGGCCUCCAUUGCACUUGAGGAGGGGUGCCCACCUAACAUCUUCCCAAAGUGGAAGAGUGCACGUCAUAAUUUGUGUUAGUGGGGGUCUGCGUUCGCGCAACCCCUG